GGAGGUGUAGUUCAAUGGCAGAACACAUGCCUGUUACCACGUGUUAAGGCCUGGGUUCAAACUCCAGAACCUCCC
rnacentral:tRNA from 1 species